rnacentral:lncRNA from 1 species
AGCUCUAGGACCUUUCUGACACUUUGGGGCUGGCACCCAGCACUGUGCUAUCCUAGGAAGAAACAGCUAAAUCCCAAUGAAAGUCUCUGCUCACCACCUCCCCUGCUCCUGCCCUGGCCUGGGCUUGGGGGGACCCAGAGAGACGUCCAUAGGGUUCUGCCCUCCUGGAUUCUCUGGCUCAGACGAUGGCCCCAUCAUAUACUCCUGCAGCCAAGGCAGAAAUCCAGGCAUCAGCCCGGACUCUUCCCUCACGCCCCCUCGUGUGCCCCCUUCUGUUUUCCUGCAGUGCCCUGAUGUCCUCUGUUGCAUUGUUUAUCAUCUUUUAUUGUAAAGGCUCCAAUUGUCC